rnacentral:rRNA from 1 species
UGCCAGCAGCCGCGGUAAUACGGAGGGGGCUAGCGUUGUUCGGAAUUACUGGGCGUAAAGCGCGCGUAGGCGGUGCAUCAAGUCAGAGGUGAAAGCCCAGGGCUCAACCCUGGAAUUGCCUUUGAGACUGAUGCGCUAGAGUACGGAAGAGGUGAGUGGAAUUCCCAGUGUAGAGGUGAAAUUCGUAGAUAUUGGGAAGAACACCAGUGGCGAAGGCGGCUCACUGGUCCGUAACUGACGCUGAGGUGCGAAAGCGUGGGGAGCAAACAGGAUUAGAUA